AGAGUUUGAUCCUGGCUCAGAACGAACGCUGGCGGCGUGCUUAACACAUGCAAGUCGAACGCGAAAGGGACUUCGGUCCUGAGUAAAGUGGCGCACGGGUGAGUAACGCGUGGAUAAUCUACCCGAUGAUCUGGGAUAACAUUUCGAAAGGGGUGCUAAUACCGGAUAAGACCACGGUUUCUUCGGAGACUGCGGUAAAAGGUGGGGACCUUCGGGCCUACCGUUAUCGGAUGAGUCCGCGUCCCAUUAGCUAGUUGGUGGGGUAAAGGCCUACCAAGGCGACGAUGGGUAGCUGGUCUGAGAGGAUGAUCAGCCACACUGGAACUGAGACACGGUCCAGACUCCUACGGGAGGCAGCAGUGGGGAAUUUUGCGCAAUGGGGGAAACCCUGACGCAGCAACGCCGCGUGAGUGAUGAAGGCCUUCGGGUCGUAAAGCUCUGUCAGAGGGAAAGAAAUGUGGGCAGUUAAUACCUGUUCCACUUGACGGUACCCUCAGAGGAAGCACCGGCUAACUCCGUGCCAGCAGCCGCGGUAAUACGGAGGGUGCGAGCGUUGUUCGGAAUUAUUGGGCGUAAAGCGCGUGUAGGCGGUUUGCUCAGUCUGAUGUGAAAGCCCUGGGCUCAACCUGGGAAGUGCAUUGGAUACUGGCAGACUUGAGUACGGGAGAGGGUAGUGGAAUUCCCAGUGUAGGAGUGAAAUCCGUAGAUAUUGGGAGGAACACCGGUGGC
rnacentral:rRNA from 1 species